UCCCUUAGUAGGGGCGACCGAAAAGGGAAGAGCUCAGCGCAUAACCUCCCGGGCCACUCGGCCUGCGGCGGAAUGUUGCGUUAAGGGAGAGGCCGCUGUUAAACCCUUCGACCACGAGAUCACUAAGUUAGCCACGAAUGGGCUGUCCCAACUAACGGCGGGAUAAUCUCCAUGGAGGGUGUAAGACCCGUGUGGGCUCGUGUUAAAGUUGAAUGGGCAAGGCUUCUCCCCGAGAGUCGCGUUGUUUGAACUUGCAGCGCUUAGCAGGUCGUAAACUCGAUCUAAGGCUAAAUAUUUCCACAGAACCGAUAGUGAACAAGUACCGUGAGGGAAAGUUGAAAAGCACUCUGAAGAGAGAGUCAAAAGACCGUGAAACCGCUCAGAGUAUAAGCCAAUGGUGUCUGGAAGGCUGCACGCUAGUUCUAGAAGUCUGGGCUUGCCCAGGGUGAUCGGGGAAACAGGAUGUUGUUGGUUAUGUGACGGGCUCGGUCAGUCCUCUUCGGAGGCUCGGGCCUGACAACGCGACCCUUGUGUGGGUCAGUGCUGAGUCGGAGCGGAACCCUUUACGGGGAUUUGUUUCUGGUUUUUGUGCUGCCUGUGCAAUGCACUAGUGUCGAGCCUACCUGCCUGUUACCCGCUUUAGCGUUGUUAGAAGCCCACCACAGCACGUUGUGAGGUCACCCACAGUCUAGUGCUGGCGAUUGCGUUCUGUGCCGAUUGACUUGAGAAACGAGGAGGCAUUUUUCUGUUAUCUCUUCAUGUCUUUCGUGUCGCAGGGCGGGCGUCAUAUCAAAGCUAGUUCUGGUACGAUCCUCGUGCGACGAGCUGCCUUCUGGUCUGCGUCUUUCGCCCGGGCACGGUCCGCACCGACCGUUGCCUACCCCAGACGGCCUGUCCCGCACUGCGCGGGGCUCC
rnacentral:rRNA from 1 species